GGGUGAGUAAUGCGUAGGAAUCUACCUCUUAGUGGGGUAUAGCUUGCCGAAAGGCGGGGUAAUACCGCAUGAUAUCGAAAGAUCAAAGGUCGCAAGAUCGCUAAGAGAGGAGCCUGCGUGCUAUCAGCUAGUUGGUAGGGUAAUGGCCUACCAAGGCUAUGACGGCUAGGGGGCGUGAGAGCGCGGCCCCCCACAAGGUAACUGAGACACGGUGCCUACACCUACGGGUGGCAGCAACUGGGAAUUUUGCGCAAUGGACGAAAGUCUGACGCAGCGACACCGCGUGUGGGAAGAAGCAUUUCGGUGUGUAAACCACUGUGGCAAAGGAAUAAGCUCUGAAGGUACUUUGCUAGAAAGCACCUGCUAACUACGUGCCAGAAGCCUCGGUAAUACGUAGGGUGCAAGCGUUAUCCGGAUUUAUUGGGCGUAAAGCGUCUGUAGGCGGGAAAGUGCGUGGCAGGUUAAAGACCGUGGCUUAACUACGGGAGGGCUUGUCAUACGACUUUUCUAGAGGAUGUUAGGGGAGACUGGAAUUCUCGGUGGAGGGGUGAAAUCCGUUGAUAUCGAGAGGAACGCCAAUGGUGAAGACAGGUCUCUGGGACAUUUCUGACGCUGAGAGACGAAAGCUAGGGUAGCAAAAGGGAUUAGAGACCCCUGUAGUCCUAGCCGUAAACUUUGAAUACUAGCUGCUCCCCGCUUUGCGGGGGGUGGCGCAAGCAAACGCGUUAAGUAUUCCGCCUGGGUAGUACGGCCGCAAGGCUAAAACUCAAAGGAAUUGACGGGGGAGCGCACAACCAGUGGAGCAUGUGGUUUAAUUCGAUACGAAGCGAAAGACCUCACCUGGGCUUGACAUGUAUCUGCAAGUCCCGUGAAAGCGGGAUUCCUUCGAGGGUGAUACACAGGUGCUGCAUGGCUGUCGUCAGCUCGUGUCGUGAGAUGUCGGCUUAAGUGCCGUAACGAGCGCAACCCCUGCCGUGUGUUAAAUAUUCACGCGGGACUGCCUUACAGCAAGUAGGGAGGAAGGAGGGGACGACGUCAAGUCAGCAUGGCCCUUACGCCCAGGGCCACACACAUCCUACAAUGGGGAGGACAACGGGUCGCGAAGGGGUAACCCUGAGCCAAUCCUUAUAAACCUCCUCUCAGUUCAGAUUGAGGGCUGCAACUCGCCCUCAUGAAGCCGGAAUUGGUAGUAAUCGCAGGUCAGCAGACCGCGGUGAAU
rnacentral:rRNA from 1 species